rnacentral:rRNA from 1 species
AGUGAACGCUGGCGGCGUGCCUAAUACAUGCAAGUCGAACGAAGUGGCGCACGGGCGAGUAAUAUAUAGUUAAUCUGCCCUACACAGAGGAACAACAGUUGGAAACAACUGCUAAUACCUCAUAUUGUUGGAUGAGACGAUAUCGUAUCAGCUAGUUGGUAAGGUAAUGGCUUACCAAGGGUAUGACGCGUAACUGGUCUGAGAGGAUGAUCAGUCAAAUUGGAACGGAGACACGGUCCAAACUCCUUCGGGAGGCAGCAGUAAGGAAUAAUGCGCAAUGGGGGAAACCCUGACGCGGCAUCGCCUCGUGGAGGAUGACACUUUUCGGAGCAUAAACUCCUUUUAUCAGGAAAGCGGUACCUGAUGAAUAAGCACCGGCUAACUCCGUGCCAGCAGCCGCGGUAAUUC